GACGUAGGGGGCGAGCGUUGUCCGGAAUGAUUGGGCGUAAAGCGUCCGCAGGUGGCAAUGUAAGUCUGCUGUCAAAGCGUCUGGCUCAACCAGAUAAAGGCAGUGGAAACUACAUAGCUAGAGUAAGGUAGGGGUAGAGGGAAUUCCUGGUGUAGCGGUGAAAUGCGUAGAGAUCAGGAAGAACACCGGUGGCGAAAGCGCUCUGCUGGACCUUAACUGACACUGAGGGACGAAAGCUAGGGGAGCGAAUGGG
rnacentral:rRNA from 1 species